UCUUCGAUAGUACAGGGGUUAGUAUAUCCGCUUUUCAGGAAUUAAAAUCCUACGCGGACGACCCGGGUUCGAAUCCCGGUCGGAGAA
rnacentral:tRNA from 1 species